rnacentral:rRNA from 1 species
GAUGAACGCUGGCGGCGUGCUUAACACAUGCAAGUCGAACGAAGCACUUUGAAAGCUUGCUUUUAAAGUGACUGAGUGGCGGACGGGUGAGUAACGCGUGGGUAACCUGCCUCACACAGGGGGAUAACAGUUAGAAAUGACUGCUAAUACCGCAUAAGCCCCCGGUACCGCAUGGUACAGAGGGAAAAGAUUUAUCGGUGUGAGAUGGGCCCGCGUCUGAUUAGCUAGUUGGUGAGGUAAUGGCUCACCAAGGCGACGAUCAGUAGCCGGCUUGAGAGAGUGAACGGCCACAUUGGGACUGAGACACGGCCCAAACUCCUACGGGAGGCAGCAGUGGGGGAUAUUGGACAAUGGGGGAAACCCUGAUCCAGCGACGCCGCGUGAGUGAAGAAGUAUUUCGGUAUGUAAAGCUCUAUCAGCAGGGAAGAAAAAUAACCAAAUUGACUGUACCUGACUAAGAAGCCCCGGCUAACUACGUGCCAGCCGCCGCCGUAAAAC